CCCUAAUCAGGUUUGGGUAUCAAGAUUAUGCUGGCCUCUUAAAAGAAGCUGGGGACGUUCCAUCUUCUUGCGUGCUCUAAGUGAGAAGCAGGGAGACCAGAGGACCAACUCCCGUGAGCUGCUGACGCUCCAGCCAAUCGUCACCUGGAAUGACUUAACUAGACACAACCGAUGGUCCUGGGAGAAACCAAUGUUUUGUUAAAACACCCGCGAGAAGAGAGUCCCUAACAGAAACAAGGUGAAAUAAACA